rnacentral:lncRNA from 1 species
UCCCUACUCUAAAUAUGAAAUGUUGGUGAACCACUCCCUGUGAAUGAUCAGCGUUCUCUCUGACAAGAGUAGAUUCGCGAUAUGAUAUGUAGGGCCACUAUGGCGAUGUAUGGCUGUGGUCGUCAUCUAUACCUAAGAUGGAAAUAAAACUAACCUAAUAUGGAAAUAGAAUCGAUUGGUCAUUCAUAGUGGUAAUCGGGAAUUCCCUCUGUUCUCAGUGGAUAUAUAUUGGAACGACUUUGCAUAAACAUCAACAAAAGAGUUAAUAAGACACAAACAUGAUUAGAAUAGUCAUUGACACUCUAUGCUGAGUUUGUAUGAUGGUUC